UACGUAGGGUGCGAGCGUUGCUCGGAAUCACUGGGCGUAAAGGGUGCGUAGGCGGCCGCGCAAGUCUGGCGUGAAAGCCCCGGGCUCAGCCCGGGAAGGGCGCUCGAAACGGCGCGGCUCGAGUGCCGGAGGGGAGAGUGGAAUUCCUGGUGUAGCGGUGAAAUGCGUAGAUAUCUGGAGGAACACCGGUGGCGAAGGCGGCAUUCUGGACUGCAACUGACACUGAGAGACGAAAGCCAGGGGAGCAAACGGG
rnacentral:rRNA from 1 species